AAGGAUGAAUAGAACAAUCAAGG
rnacentral:piRNA from 1 species